rnacentral:lncRNA from 1 species
AUUCAUAUAAGCAUUGCAAAUAUGGCAAUCAUAUCAAUUCAUAUAUCUCUUGAUGAUGCAAGCAUGGGAUAAUCAUAGCAUAGUGUUUAUAGGAUCAAUUCAUAUAUUUCUCCCCUUUUUUAAGUGUUUCAUCUUAAGUGAUCGAUUUCAUGUUAGCAUGCCUUUUCAUUUAUGUCAAAUAAAAACAUGCAUCAACGUUUAGGAUCGUAAAAUGAAUUUCAUCAUAAAACCAUCAAUCACAAAAAUCAUCAUGUAUAACUUUAAAAUCUCAUGCAUAAAAUCGUCAAAUCAUAGUAUCAAAACUUUAAUAUUUUCAUUGCAACAUUAAGCAAGGUUUCAUUGAACAUAAUUUUGAAUGAUUCUUAUAAAUGCCUAAAACUUCUUUAGUUUUAAUUUAUAUGAUUGACUUUAUAAUAGCAUGCUCAAAUCUUUAUUCUUAUGUCAAAACCAUACAUCAUAUUUAACAAACAAAGACAAUGAAAAAUAUCACGCCUUCCAGACAAAAGCCAUGUAUCGUCAUUGAAAAGCAAUAUGAAAAUCAUCAAAAUAUACAUUCUUGCUUCUAAAGCACAUAAAUAAGAU